rnacentral:rRNA from 1 species
GACGAACGCUGGCGGCGUGCUUAACACAUGCAAGUCGAACGGAAAGGCCCUGCUUUUGUGGGGUGCUAGAGUGGCGAACGGGUGAGUAACACGUGAGUAACCUGCCCUUGACUUUGGGAUAACUUCAGGAAACUGGGGCUAAUACCGGAUAGGAGCUCCUGCUGCAUGGUGGGGGUUGGAAAGUUUCGGCGGUUGGGGAUGGACUCGCGGCUUAUCAGCUUGUUGGUGGGGUAGUGGCUUACCAAGGCAUUGACGGGUAGCCGGCCUGAGAGGGUGACCGGCCACAUUGGGACUGCGAUACGGCCCAGACUCCUACGGGAGGCAGCAGUGGGGAAUAUUGCACAAUGGGCGGAAGCCUGAUGCAGCAACGCCGCGUGCGGGAUGACGGCCUUCGUGUUGUAAACCGCUUUCGCCUGUGACGAAGCGUGAGUGACGGUAAUGGGUAAAGAAGCACCGGCUAACUACGUG